UAGCGGCAGGCUUAACACAUGCAAGUCGAGGGGCAGCAUGAGGAGUAGCAAUACACCUUGAUGGCGACCGGCGCAAGGGUGCGUAACGCGUGAGCAACAUUCCCGAUUCUGGGACAUAACCGGUGGAAACGCCGACUAAUUUCCCAUAACAACGGUUUUGACAUCAUUACUGUUUGAAAGAUUCAUCGGAAUCGGAUUGGCUCGCGUGAUAUUAGUUAGUUGGUGAGGUAACGGCCCACCAAGACUACGAUAUCUAGGGGUUCUGAGAGGAAGGUCCCCCACAUUGGAACUGAGACACGGUCCAAACUCCUACGGGAGGCAGCAGUGAGGAAUAUUGGUCAAUGGCCGAAAGGCUGAACCAGCCAUGCCGCGUGAAGGUUAAGGUCCUAUGGAUUGUAAACUUCUUUUGUACGGGAGCAAUAAGUUCUACGUGUAGAGCGAUGAGAGUACCGUACGAAUAAGCAUCGGCUAACUCCGUGCCAGCAGCCGCGGUAAUACGGAGGAUGCAAGCGUUAUCCGGAUUUAUUGGGUUUAAAGGGUGCGUAGGCGGUAUGAUAAGUCAGCGGUGAAAUGUUCUCGCUCAACGAGAAAAGUGCCGUUGAUACUGUUGUACUAAAGUUCGGGAUGCCGGGGGAAGAAUGUGUAGUGUAGCGGUGGAAAAGCUUAGAAUAUUACACAGAAACACCGAUUGCGAAGGCAUCUCACGAAUCCGACACUGACGCUGAGGCACGAAAGUGUGGGGAUCAAACAGGAUUAGAUACCCUGGUAGUCCACACUGUAAACGAUGAUAACUAACCGUUGGCGAUAUACAGUCAGUGGCUAAGCGAAAGCGAUAAGUUAUCCACCUGGGGAGUACGUUCGCAAGAAUGAAACUCAAAGGAAUUGACGGGGGCCCGCACAAGCGGAGGAACAUGUGGUUUAAUUCGAUGAUACGCGAGGAACCUUACCCGGGCUUGAAAGUUACUGAAUAAUCUAGAGAUAGAUUAGCUAGCAAUAGCAGGAAACUAGGUGCUGCAUGGUUGUCGUCAGCUCGUGCCGUGAGGUGUCGGCUUAAGUGCCAUAACGAGCGCAACCCUUGUCGUCAGUUACCAUCAGGUUAUGCUGGGCACUCUGGCGAGACUGCCACCGCAAGGUGUGAGGAAGGGGGGGAUGACGUCAAAUCAGCACGGCCCUUACGUCCGGGGCGACACACGUGUUACAAUGGUGAGUACAGAAGGCAGCUACCUGGCGACAGGAUGCAAAUCUUCAAAACUCAUCUCAGUUCGGAUUGGAGUCUGCAACUCGACUCCAUGAAGUUGGAUUCGCUAGUAAUCGCGCAUCAGCCAUGGCGCGGUGAAUACGAUCCCGGGCCUUGUACUCACCGCCCGUCA
rnacentral:rRNA from 1 species